rnacentral:rRNA from 1 species
AACGAACGCUGGCGGCAGGCCUAACACAUGCAAGUCGAGCGCUCACUUCGGUGGGAGCGGCGGACGGGUUAGUAACGCGUGGGAAUAUGCCCGGUACUAAGGAAUAGCCUUUGGAAACGAAGAGUAAUACCUUAUACGCCCUUCGGGGGAAAGAUUUAUCGGUAUCGGAUUAGCCCGCGUAAGAUUAGAUAGUUGGUGGGGUAAUGGCCUACCAAGUCUACGAUCUUUAGCUGGUUUUAGAGGAUGAUCAGCAACACUGGGACUGAGACACGGCCCAGACUCCUACGGGAGGCAGCAGUGGGGAAUCUUAGACAAUGGGCGCAAGCCUGAUCUAGCCAUGCCGCGUGAGUGAAGAAGGCCUUAGGGUCGUAAAACUCUUUCGCCAGAGAUGAUAAUGACAGUAUCUGGUAAAGAAACCCCGGCUAACUCCGUG